rnacentral:rRNA from 1 species
CAGUAGCCGCGGGAAUACGUAGGUGGCAAGCGUUGUCCGGAAUUAUUUGGCGUAAAGGGCUCGCAGGCGGUUUCUUAAGUCUGAUGUGAAAGCCCCCGGCUCAACCGGGGAGGGUCAUUGGAAACUGGGAAACUUGAGUGCAGAAGAGGAGAGUGGAAUUCCACGUGUAGCGGUGAAAUGCGAAGAGAUGUGGAGGAACACCAGUGGCGAAGGCGACUCUCUGGUCUGUAACUGACGCUGAGGAGCGAAAGCGUGGGGAGCGAACAGGAUUAGAUACCCCGGUAGUCCCUGUCUCUUAUAA